rnacentral:rRNA from 1 species
AGAGGGGGACAACAGUUGGAAACGACUGCUAAUACCGCAUAAGCCCACGACCCGGCAUCGGGAAGAGGGAAAAGGAGCAAUCCGCUUUGAGAUGGCCUCGCGUCCGAUUAGCUAGUUGGUGAGGUAACGGCCCACCAAGGCAACGAUCGGUAGCCGGACUGAGAGGUUGAACGGCCACAUUGGGACUGAGACACGGCCCAGACUCCUACGGGAGGCAGCAGUGGGGAAUAUUGCACAAUGGGGGAAACCCUGAUGCAGCGACGCCGCGUGGAGGAAGAAGGUCUUCGGAUUGUAAACUCCUGUUGUUGAGGAAGAUAAUGACGGUACUCAACAAGGAAGUGACGGCUAACUACGUGCCAGCAGCCGCGGUAAAACGUAGGUCACAAGCGUUGUCCGGAAUUACUGGGUGUAAAGGGAGCGCAGGCGGGAAGACAAGUUGGAAGUGAAAUCCAUGGGCUCAACCCAUGAACUGCUUUCAAAACUGUUUUUCUUGAGUAGUGCAGAGGUAGGCGGAAUUCCCGGUGUAGCGGUGGAAUGCGUAGAUAUCGGGAGGAACACCAGUGGCGAAGGCGGCCUACUGGGCACCAACUGACGCUGAGGCUCGAAAGUGUGGGUAGCAAACAGGAUUAGAUACCCUGGUAGUCCACACCGUAAACGA